rnacentral:rRNA from 1 species
GAGGAAUAUUGGUCAAUGGACGCAAGUCUGAACCAGCCAAGUCGCGUGAAGGAAGACUGCCCUAUGGGUUGUAAACUUCUUUUGUACAGGAAUAAAGUGCUUUACGUGUAGAGUUUUGUAUGUACUGUACGAAUAAGGAUCGGCUAACUCCGUGCCAGCAGCCGCGGUAAUACGGAGGAUCCGAGCGUUAUCCGGAUUUAUUGGGUUUAAAGGGUGCGUAGGUGGACUUAUAAGUCAGUGGUGAAAGUUUGCAGCUUAACUGUAAAAUUGCCGUUGAAACUGUAGGUCUUGAGUGCAAAUGAGGUAGGCGGAAUGUGUUGUGUAGCGGUGAAAUGCUUAGAUAUAACACAGAACACCGAUUGCGAAGGCAGCUUACUGGGAUGCAACUGACACUGAUGCACGAAGGCGUGGGGAUCAAAC